AGAGUUUGAUCAUGGCUCAGAUUGAACGCUGGCGGCAGGCCUAACACAUGCAAGUCGAGCGGAAACAGAGAGUAACUUGUUACUUUGCUGUCGAGCGGCGGACGGGUGAGUAAUGCUUGGGAAACUGCCCAGUCGAGGGGGACAACCAUUGGAAACGAUGGCUAAUACCGCAUACGCCCUACGGGGGAAAGAAGGGGACUCUUCGGAGCCUUUCGCGAUUGGAUGUGCCCAAGUGGGAUUAGCUAGUUGGUGAGGUAAAGGCUCACCAAGGCGACGAUCCCUAGCUGGUUUGAAAGGAUGAUCAGCCACACUGGAACUGAGACACGGUCCAGACUCCUACGGGAGGCAGCAGUGGGGAAUAUUGCACAAUGGGCGCAAGCCUGAUGCAGCCAUGCCGCGUGUAUGAAGAAGGCCUUCGGGUUGUAAAGUACUUUCAGCGAGGAGGAAAGGGUAUAGCUUAAUACGCUGUAUCUGUGACGUUACUCGCAGAAGAAGGACCGGCUAACUCCGUGCCAGCAGCCGCGGUAAUACGGAGGGUCCGAGCGUUAAUCGGAAUUACUGGGCGUAAAGCGUACGCAGGCGGUUUGUUAAGCGAGAUGUGAAAGCCCCGGGCUCAACCUGGGAACUGCAUUUCGAACUGACAAACUAGAGUUUUGUAGAGGGUGGUAGAAUUUCAGGUGUAGCGGUGAAAUGCGUAGAGAUCUGAAGGAAUACCAGUGGCGAAGGCGGCCACCUGGACAAUAACUGACGCUCAUGUACGAAAGCGUGGGGAGCAAACGGGAUUAGAUACCCCGGUAGUCCACGCCGUAAACGAUGUCAACUAGCCGACUGGCGCCUUGAGCGCUGGGUGGCGCAGCUAACGCAUUAAGUUGACCGCCUGGGGAGUACGGCCGCAAGGUUAAAACUCAAAUGAAUUGACGG
rnacentral:rRNA from 1 species